rnacentral:rRNA from 1 species
CCUACGGGAGGCUGCAGUGAGGAAUAUUGGUCAAUGGACGCGAGUCUGAACCAGCCAAGCCGCGUGAAGGAAGACUGCUCUAUGAGUUGUAAACUGCUUUUGUACAGGGAUAAACUCAGAUACGCGUACCUUUCUGAAAGUAUCUUACGAAUAAGGAUCGGCUAACUCCGUGCCAGCAGCCGCGGUAAUACGGAGGAUUCAAGCGUUAUCCGGAUUUAUUGGGUUUAAAGGGUGCGUAGGCGGGUGGUUAAGUUAGAGGUGAAAUUCCGAGGCUCAACAUUGGAAUUGCCAUUGAUACUGGUCGUCUAGAGAGUAGUUGCGGUAGGCGGAAUUUAUGGUGUAGCGGUGAAAUGCUUAGAGAUCAUACAGAACACCGAUUGCGAAGGCAGCUUACCAAGCUACCACUGACAUUGAGGCACGAAAGCGUGGGUAUCAAACAGGAUUAGAUACCCGAGUAGUC